UACGUAGGGUGCAAGCGUUGUCCGGAUUUAUUGGGCGUAAAGAGCUCGUAGGCGGCUUGUCGCGUCGACUGUGAAAUCCCGCGGCUCAACUGCGGGUCUGCAGUCGAUACGGGCAGGCUAGAGUUCGGUAGGGGAGACUGGAAUUCCUGGUGUAGCGGUGAAAUGCGCAGAUAUCAGGAGGAACACCGAUGGCGAAGGCAGGUCUCUGGGCCGAUACUGACGCUGAGGAGCGAAAGCGUGGGGAGCGAACAGG
rnacentral:rRNA from 1 species